AUAUAUGCAUACUAACAUGGAGAUCACAAACGUAUCUUCUCUACUCUCUUUGUUCAUUUUAGCAAUGGCUUUCAUACUUAGAACCCUACCCACCAACAUCACCACAGAUCAGUCCUCUCUUCUUUCUUUGAAAUCCUCCGCCAGCUUAGCUUAAGUCACAACCAUACAUUGCCAAACAACUGGUCAAUCAGUGCCCUCUAUUUGCAACUGGAUUGGAGUUGUUUGCGGAUCCAAACACCACAGAGUGGUCGAGCUGAACAUAUCGAGUAUGGGUAUCCUGGGUACCCUUCCUCCACAAUUAGGCAACCUCUCAUUUCUUGUUUCUCUUAACAUAAGCCACAACAAUUUCUAUGGAAAUUUGACUAGAGAGUUAUAUAGAUUUUGGCUAUAAUAAUUUUAGUGGAAAAAUUUCAAAAGAGAUUGACAAUCUUGAGAAUACAAAAUGGCUGAUAUUGGAAGUUAACCAACUUGAUGGUCCUAUCCCCUUCACUAUCUUCAACAUUUCCACAUUACAAAAUUUGGUCCUCAACAAUAAUGGCUUAUCUAGCUCUCUUCCAAUGAAGCUCUGUCAACAUGCUACAAAACUCAAAGUGCUUAGUCUGUCUUACAACAAGUUGAGUGGUUAUAUUCCAAAGAAUUUAUCAAGUUGCUCAGAACUUAAACAAGUGGAGUUGGCUCACAACAAUUUUGCUGGAACAAUUCUGAGAGAGAUUGGAAGCUUAAAUAUGCUUCGGAUUUUAAAUCUCAAUUGGAACAAUUUAUAAGGAACAAUGUCAGAAACAAUAUUUAAGAUUUCUAUACUAACUUAUAUAAACAUGGCAAACAACCAUCUAUUUGUCAUUCUCCCGCCAAAUAUGUGUUCACAUCUUCAAAAGCUUGAAAUACUUUACUUGUAUAUAAACAAGCUAUAUGGCAACAUUUCAAGGAGCAUAGUUGAAUGCUCAAUGCUAAAAUCUCUUCAACUUUCUGAUAAUUCCUUGUUAGGUAUGGAAUGUAAAUCACUUCUUUUUUUUAUUGUCUUUCACUCUUAACAUGUACAAUUUUAGUCCUGUCGUCUUCUUUUGCUCUUUUUUCUCUGCCUCUCCUCUCCAUUUUCGCCUCCCCCAUCGCCGUCCACCACACCUACGAUCUCGCACUGUCGCCGCCACUUUUCCUUCCCUUCCGGCGUUCUUCCUCUUCCCCAGCUUCGGAUCUGUCAAGAAGUACAUCACCAUUGAAUAAGGAAAAGAAGGUUUUGGAUUUUGCAAAA